rnacentral:tRNA from 1 species
CGCGGGGUGGAGCAGUUCGGUAGCUCGUCGGGACCAUAACCCGAAGGUCGCAGGUUCAAAUCCUGCCCCCGCAACCA